GUGCUCUAACACAGAGAAAAAUGAAUCAAUCCAAAGUGACAAUAAAAAAUUGCACGCAUGAUAGACCUUGUAGGCAAGAAUUUUAAAGCAGUUAUUAUAACUCUUUUCUCCUUGCUCAUGAGAAUAGAGGAUUGAUUGAAUGUGUUAAGUGGAGAAAUUGAAGGCAUAGAGAAAGAUCCAACUUAAACUUUUAGAACUGGACCCUCUUUCUUUCUGCUGGACAGCGGAGAAAACUGUCUCUUCCAGGUUUAUGCCCCUUCUUAGCAAGGUUUGGUUUCAUAACUGCCUGAGGUGAAGAUCUCAAGCCUCCCUUUCAAUGUAGGAGAAUCUGAAAAUCCUCCAAUUCCACAGCUCCCUAUAGGGAUGGCCUCAAUGUGGGUCAGGGUGUUCUUGUGCCCAGUGUUGCCUCCCUCACUUAGUUUCACACCUGCUGUGAAAGCCAGUCUCCAUCUCAGAGUCUGCUUCCAGGCAUCCCAAAAUAACACAACAAGUCAUCCCCAACUUGAGCCAUCAGGAACCUGAGGAGGCCACAGUAUACCAUAAAGCACCAGUUUAUUCCUAAUGAUCAUUGUGAGUCUGCAAAUGCCCAGUGAGAUCUGAGUGUUUCUUGCAUUUGUGUGGAAUGAAAAGGGCCCUGGCAUGCCAGGUGCUCUGGGAUCAGAGGGAGAGUUGGAGUCAGAUCCUCCUCCAGGAAUUCAGGGUCAGAAAAAGCAGCCUCACCCCAAGCAGGGACCACAGAUGCACCCGCAGGGGGAGCUGCAAGAUGAAUGUUGCCCACCUCCACCCUCCACAUCCUGUGAAAAAAAUCAUUCUUUCCACCCCUCCUUCAGCCAUCAAAGUUGACACUUUAGAAGCCACAAGAGCCUACACUUGUCAACAGAAAACCCACUCACAUCUCUGUCAACCACACAAUCUCCACAUAAAGAUUCUUCAAAAAAUAAUAACAGUAGCCACGAAAAGACCUUGGGAUUCCCAUGAGGCUCACACCAUAUUGUGAUUGAACAGUGCUGGUCUGCACCCCGUCAGGUAAGAGGGGCUGAGGAGUGACCUGGUGCAGGAAGCCCCAUCUUCAUCCACAGGACCUCAGUGUAAACACAGGGAGAGGCACGGGUGCAAGAGAAAUGAGAACAGGAGUGUGGACCACCUGCUUGUGCACGGGACUGAGCCUUCACUUCGAGCCAAAUAAACUUUUUUUUUCUAUCUUCA
rnacentral:lncRNA from 1 species